rnacentral:rRNA from 1 species
GAUGAACGCUGGCGGCGUGCCUAAUACAUGCAAGUCGAGCGAACGGACGAGAAGCUUGCUUCUCUGAUGUUAGCGGCGGACGGGUGAGUAACACGUGGAUAACCUACCUAUAAGACUGGGAUAACUUCGGGAAACCGGAGCUAAUACCGGAUGAUAUUUUGAACCGCAUGGUUCAAAAGUGAAAGACGGUCUUGCUGUCACUUAUAGAUGGAUCCGCGCUGCAUUAGCUAGUUGGUAAGGUAACGGCUUACCAAGGCAACGAUGCAUAGCCGACCUGAGAGGGUGAUCGGCCACACUGGAACUGAGACACGGUCCAGACUCCUACGGGAGGCAGCAGUAGGGAAUAUUCCGCAAUGGGCGAAAGCCUGACGGAGCAACGCCGCGUGAGUGAUGAAGGUCUUCGGAUCGUAAAACUCUGUUAUUAGGGAAGAACAUAUGUGUAAGUAACUGUGCACACCUUGACGGUACCUAAUCAGAAAGCCACGGCUAACUACGUG